AGGAACCGCUUCUCUCUCUCUUUCUCUCUCUCUCUCUCUCUCUCUCUAGACUGAACGACAGCCGCGGAGGUAGGGAAGCCAGGCCUCGACUCUACAAACGAACGGACGAAUCUUCCGCCAUUUUAAUGGAGGAGUUCGACUUGAUCAUGGAUCCCUUAAUCGACAUAUAAGAGAUGUGGCAUGGUUAAAAAGAAAAGGAUGAAGAAGACAGCUCUAUGAAUGAGAGAAGGCUGAAGUUGCUCCUCUUACUUCCUUGGGGCCACUCACACGGAGUCAUGGAUGCUGUCUCAAUCAUGUCCAACAUUAGCAUGGCCAAUCUGGUAUGACCAAUGGGUCAACCCAGACAACUGAAUUGAUGGAAUAGAGGAUAACUCAGGUCAUUGGUUCAACUGGCUCCAUCAGAAGACAUCUAUUUUGGCUGGUUCAGCCUGGUUUGAUGUAGUUGGUUCCCCCAACAGGUUUGAACUAUGUUUAUGUAUCCAAGCAUGUGUGAAUUGGGAUUGGCCUUGGCCUCAGAUGAUUCUGGUCCAAACCUGCCGAACCAGCCAAUUCGGUCCCAAUUUUUUAUAUCCUAAUUGAAGUGAGCCUAUAGGAAGGAAUGUAAGCAGAAUAUCAGAUUAGAAAUAUUGUUGGAUUAAUGGCUGGGCCAUUUGGCUAA